CGUUAAGGGAAACUUAACUAACGUUAGCUAAAAAGUAACGUUAAUGUAUACAAGUGACUGAAAUCUUUGCCAGACAGUCGUCACCAGUUAUUAUUUAAAGUCUGGGGCUGCUCCUUGUUACCUGCGCUUUGGUCUGACCAUAGAGAGUGCUGCUAAAGGAAUUUCAUCAUGCCCAUUAUCACCUGACUGGCAAGAGCAGCUAUUGUACAGAUGCAGAUCAUAUGCAAACUAUUCUGCUGCAAGCUUGACAAUACGCAACACAAUUGAUUGCCCUGGACAGGCAGAAGGUCUCACAGACAGGCAAGACAGCAGAGGCACUGCGGACAUCCUAAGGAUUUAUGACCUCCAGGGAAUGGAGCCCAAGGGGAGCAUAUACAAAACAAAAAAAGGCCCCUGGAUCGAACUUUUAGGUACUCUACAUUGAAUUGCUGCUGAAGAGGAGGAAAUGUUACCAAUGUCAGAACAGGAAAGGUUCAAGUAGGAGUGAAACCACUGUAGAGUAACACCCUGGAUACCACCCCUUGCUGGAGGCAAUCCAGGAGGAUGUCAUGAUCAACCGUGUCAAAGCAGCGCCGAGGUAAAGCAGGAACAAACUAGCACAAUUUCCAGUAUCACCAAAAAACAACAAAUCAUUCAGUACCAUAAGCAGUGCUGUUUCUGUGCUGUGAUGUACCCUGAAACCUGACUGAAAGUUAUCCAGCACAUUGUUUUAAGUUAAAAAUGAGAACGACCUUCUCCAAUAUUUUGGAAAUUAUAACUUCCCCAUCAGGAAACGCUGUGGUUGGAUAAGGAAACCAGGUUUUCAGCGGAGAGGCUGCAUGUAUUUUAAGGACUGCUGGUUUGUGGUAUCUUUGUUCAGAAUGCUUCAUGGUGUGGCUUGCAUGUGGGAGGUAUUUUAAUGUCAGGUUGAAAUCAUAGAUGUGUUUGUUAGGUAUGGGCGGGUCGUGGGGGCUCAUUAUUAGCUUAUUAAGGCUGUGCAUGUGAAAGGCCCAUGCUGAUGGAUUCCACUACAAUCAUUUGCACCACACCAUUCCAGAAAAUCCAGUUCCAGCAUUUUUUAAAUUCUCACUUUCUGCCCGAUUUGUACAUGACUGCUACAUUAUAGCUGUGAUGAGAGAUGGUGGUUAUGGUUAAAAAGCCAAACAUCUGUAAUGGGAUACAAACUCCACUUUCAGUCAGAAGUAUUACUCGCCAUCCACCUGCUGCUCUGACCUGCAGACUCUUUUCUAGAAUUAGACUGGAACCCAAACACUCUAUUCCCUUUAAAGGUGCUUUCCAUUACACAUGUCUUUUAGAACACAGCAGAUACCGGAACGGGGGAUCAGACAAACCCUCAAUAGUCAAGUGAGGCACUAAGACGUGUGUGUGUGCGUGUGCGUGUGUGCCAAAUAGAACACAAAACAGUCGACAACAUUAACACACACACACACAUCAGACAGAGAAGAAGCAGUGUGUGUGUGCGUGCAGUGUGCAAGUAUGUGUGUGUGUUUGUGCAUGUGUGUGUUUCCUGUUGGCAGAAACAGCCCAGGGCUUCUGAGGGCCCAGACUGAAUGAAUACCUGCGAGCUGUUGCACCAGUUUGAUAGCAGAGUAACAAUUGACAAUAAGGAUCUUUGUGUGAGAGACGGUCACAGCCAGCAAGUAAAUAUUUCUACUUUAUACUUAAUUUAUCUGAUGCCUGUCAUUAUUACGACAGGUGCCAUACCUUCAUUUACUGAAGUACUACUGUACUUAUGUACAGGUUAGGAUUAAUUGUACUUAACAAAGUAUUUUCCAUUUAAACAACUUCACAACAUUUUAGCGGUAACUUUUUACUACCGUAAAUUUACACGACAGCAAAUAAAAAACAAACAUGUUGUUAUAAA